CGGUCUUGCUUAACCCAUGCAAGUUCGGACGGGAGGUCUUGGGAACCUUGUUGGCGGACGGGUGAGUAACGCGUGCGAUUAAGAAAAAAGAGAUGGGGACAGAGCUGGAAAGGGCUGCUAAUCUCCUUUGAAAACGAGAGGUGAAACUUAUAUGGCCUGAGGAUGAGCUCGCGUCUGAUUAGCUAGUUGGAGUGGUAACGGUCCCCCCAGGAGACGAUCAGUAGCUGGUCUGAGAGGAUGAUCAGCCACACUGGGACUGAGACACGGCCCAGACUCCUACGGGAGGCAGCAGUGGGGAAUUUUCCGCAAUGGGCGAAAGCCUGACGGACCAAGACCGCGCGAGGGAGGAAGGCCUACUGGUUGUAAACCUCUUUUGACAGGGAAGAAGACAAUGACGGUACCUGUCGAAUCAGCCUCGGCUAACUCCGUGCCAGCAGCCGCGGUAAUAAUCUAUAUGCAUU
rnacentral:rRNA from 1 species